rnacentral:ribozyme from 1 species
GAGAUUGAUGAACUAGACGAGGAUGGAAAGCCAGGAGCUGAGAAACAGGAGAAAGUCAAAAUCACUAACCUUGAAGAAAUAUUGGAAGCAAACGACGACGACGACGACCAGUGAAUGGAGUUCUCUUGGAAUAAAGGUAUUUGUUAGUCUGGUAAG